rnacentral:rRNA from 1 species
UUGGAGGGCAAGUCUGGUGCCCGCAGCCGCGGUAAUUCCAGCUCCAAUAGCGUAUAUUAAAGUUGCUGCAGUUAAAAAGCUCGUAGUUGAAUUUCGGGGUCAGUAGGUUGGUCGUGCCUAUGGUAUGUACUGGCUUUACUGAUUCCUCCUUCUUGAAGAACUGUAAUGUCAUUAAUUUGGUGUUGCAGGGAAACAGGACUGUUACUUUGAAAAAAUUAGAGUGUUUAAAGCAGGCUAACGCUUGAAUACAUUAGCAUGGAAUAAUGAAAUAGGACGUUCGAUCCUAUUUUGUUGGUUUCUAGGAUUGACGUAAUGAUUAAUAGGGAUAGUUGGGGGCAUUAGUAUUCAAUUGUCAGAGGUGAAAUUCUUGGAUUUAUUGAAGACUAACUACUGCGAAAGCAUUUGCCAAGGAUGUUUUCAUUAAUCAAGAACGAAAGUUAGGGGAUCGAAGACGAUCAGAUACCGUCGUAGUCUUAACCAUAAACUAUGCCGACUAGGGAUCGGAUGAUGUUAAUUUUUUAAUGACUCAUUCGGCGCCUUACGGGAAAC